AUGCUCAGGUGGUUCUGCUCCAUGUUUGUGGUUCUGGACCUUCUAUCAGGUGUCUGUGUUGGACGACUGACUCCAGCCAUGGUCCAAGAGUCAUAUGAAGAAGGCAGAGCUGUCACUCUGUCUUGCACCAUCUCUCCACGGGCUGAUGACCGGGACCGGCUGACCUGGUACCGACAGCACCCUGGAGGAUCACUGGAACGUCUGGUAUCUCACUUAGCAAUGGAAAAAGAAGUGAUGCGUCCAGGCCUGACUGCUGGAGUGACGGCUGACAGAAACCAGAUGGAGCUGAAGAUCACGUCUGCUGCAGUGACGGACUCUGCUGUCUACUUCUGUGCUCUGGAGCCCACAGGGGCGGAGUUCCCACCCUUCAUCUGCCACCAGAGGGCGACAGCUGACUCCAUGUGA